AAGAUAGAAAUGGAGAGAAGGGCAAUAGCAGCUUGCACAUGUCAAGGAUCUGCAGCGCAUGAAACCCCUUAAACUGAAGAUGAUGUUCCUGAAGCCUAGAGAUGUCAGCACUCGCAGUCAGCCGCUUUAUCAUCCAUUGCUCCAUUAACCUCAUCCACCUGGUCAACACAAUUCAAACAUACCAGUUAAAACAGAUAUGGGUGCAAGUCAUGACACUUUUACAGAUUAAAGAUGUCCGAGAUUCACGAUGAAUGCUGUUUGAAGAAGAAUGAACAGAAUCACAUUUUAAUUUAAUCUCACUGCCAAUGUGGACUUAAAG